UUAUACAAGAUUUUCAGAUUUUGAAACAUGGUUAAGUUGGGUUUCAGCUUGGGAUUUCUGAUUGACUCAGGAUACAUGAGCCAUAAGUUUGGUAGGCCUAGCCCUUUUGAAGAAAGUGAUGGGCUGAGAUGCAAAAACAUGUUCUGUGAUAGCCUAACAAGCUCCUCUUGUGCUCUCUCUCUUCUGCAUGUUUUUUUCUUGUCAACGGAGCUUGAUUCAUUAAGACAAACAAAUACAAGUCUCAUACACAGGGCCCAAACCGCCCAAGGAUGGUUUAUAUGCAUCAUGCAUGCAUACAUCAUAAACAAACAAAGCAAGAGCAUUAACAAAUCCUACCAACUCCUAGAUACGCGAAAGCAUAACUCCAAAAGCAUUGUAGUGUCUUUGUUACCAUGUUGCUGUCUCCACCAGAUAAGAGGGUCAUUGGACUUGUGGCUGAAACAAUCUUCAUAUUCAAUAAAAGUGUCAUCGGAUCCUUCCUGUCAUUCUCGCUCCUCCCUAUUCUUCUAACGAGCACUAUGGAAGAGGAAAAUGAGAGGGACGAUGCCCUCACCCUGCUCAUUAGAAAUAGAAAAAAUUGCAGAAGGUCAGAUUAAGAAAAAGAGCAUUAUGGAGGAAAGUAAGAGUGACAAUGCCCUCACCCUUGCUAUGCAUUGAUUCACGCUCAGAUGAACGAGAACCUGUAUCGUCUAUUAAUAGUCCCGAAGCCAAGAGGCUAAUCCAAAAUCAUUUUGGAUUACUUUUCACCCACACACUCACAGUUCUUCAAUGAGUUCUAAAGAGAUUUCGGACCUGGAAGCUGAAAUGGAAAUGUGGAACAUAGAAAAUAAUGAUCGUAAAAAGGACAGAUUCUCUCUCUCACUUGAACAUCCUAUAUUCAUACACUGUUUAAUAUAGUAUUCAUCCGUGUUGAAGUUUUUUUUUUUUUCAGAGUUGAUUACCGAAUUUCCAAUGCUAAGAAUAGGAAUGAAAUUGCAGACCUUGACCGUAAGAUUGAAGCCGUAACUUCAGAGAUUGACCGCGUGAGGUAGUAUAACGCCGCCAUUGUAACUCAAGUACCAAAGGCGGUGUCCAAAUACAUAUAUAAAUCAAAGGAAGAGGAGGCCCAUGAGAAUGGGAAGGGAAAGGAGAAGGUGGACCCAGCGAAGCCUUGACCGACGACCUUAUAUGCCCUGACCAAAAUAUCAAAAGGUCUCACUCAUCAACAUUUCGGGGCGAACUACAUUAUGGUCGGUUUCUUGGUGUGGAACCAAUAUCGUACUAUCUUUCCGGUUUUAUGUAAUGAUGACUUGAGAAUCUUUAGUUAUGUAAUUGUCUUUUAAAAGCUCAUCCUCCUUGCACUCUUCAUUUGUAUCAUUGUGUCACUUCCUUUUCCAAGUAAUUAUA